CGGACUGAAAGGAAGUGAGCACUCAGUGUGCACUUCCUUUCAGUCCGGCCAGGAACAGGCAACUGAAUCUCCUGUACCGCACGGUACCCGGCCGGACUGAAAGGAAGUGCACACUGAGUGCUUACUUCCUUUCAGUCCG